rnacentral:rRNA from 1 species
AGCGAACGCUGGCGGCAGGCCUAACACAUGCAAGUCGAACGAACCUUUCGGGGUUAGUGGCGGACGGGUGAGUAACACGUGGGAACGUGCCUUUAGGUUCGGAAUAACUCAGGGAAACUUGUGCUAAUACCGAAUGUGCCCUUCGGGGGAAAGAUUUAUCGCCUUUAGAGCGGCCCGCGUCUGAUUAGCUAGUUGGUUGAGGUAAUGGCUCACCAAGGCGACGAUCAGUAGCUGGUCUGAGAGGAUGAUCAGCCACAUUGGGACUGAGACACGGCCCAAACUCCUACGGGAGGCAGCAGUGGGGAAUCUUGCGAAAUGGGCGAAAGCCUGACGCAGCCAGGCCGCGUGAAUGAUGAAGGUCUUAGGAUUGUAAAAUUCUUUAACCGGGGACGAUAAUGACGGUACCCGGAGAAGAAGCCCCGGCUAACUUCGUG